UACGUAGGGGGCAAGCGUUGUCCGGAAUCAUUGGGCGUAAAGAGCGUGUAGGCGGCCAGGUAGGUCUGCUGUGAAAACUCGAGGCUCAACCUCGAGAUGUCGGCGGAAACCAUCUGGCUAGAGUCCGGAAGAGGAGAGUGGAAUUCCUGGUGUAGCGGUGAAAUGCGCAGAUAUCAGGAAGAACACCCGUGGCGAAGGCGGCUCUCUGGGACGGUACUGACGCUGAGGCGCGAAAGCGUGGGGAGCAAACAGG
rnacentral:rRNA from 1 species